AUAUAAUUUUUUCCUGAAUCUCAAAAAUAAUUCCAGCACCACGGAACUUCUCAGAGGAAAAUGUGUUUCCUAAGGGCUUAUUUGUGGAGCAUCAAGCAGAACUCAAGAGAACUUCUCAAGAGAUUGCCUUUGCUUUCUUCAACAUGUCAGAAUCAGCUUGAAGUCCAGGCUCCCCCGGAACAUCCAUAGGGUAUGUGAGACAGAACUGUCACCCGUUUUUACCAGUAUUCUCCAUCCAAGGACCCAAUAGAAAGGUAGUAAUGAAGAUCUGAGGGCCCUACAUGCCACGUAAAUGCUGUGGUGAUGUAAACUUUGAGGUAAGUGUCUUGAGUAAGGAUGAGAGCAAGAACGAGAGAGAAUCCAGGCAUCCAAGCAUCAUUAAUAGAAAAACUGACAUUUGGUGUUAAUUUAACCCUUUGAUGCACAACAUGGAUCUAAAGUGACCCGACUGAGA